AAGUAAAAGUCGUAACAAGGUUUCCGUAGGUGAACCUGCGGAAGGAUCAUUACUGAAUUGUCAAACGGGUUGUUGCUGGCCCUCAUAGGGGGCAUGUGCACGCUCUGUUUACACAUCCACUCACACCUGUGCACCCUCUGUAGUUCUAUGGUCUGGGGGACCCUGUCUUCCUUCUGUGGUUCUACGUCUCUACACACACACUGUAAUAAAGUUUUAUGGAAUGUACAUCGCGUCUAACGCAAUACAAUACAACUUUCAGCAACGGAUCUCUUGGCUCUCGCAUCGAUGAAGAACGCAGCGAAAUGCGAUAAGUAAUGUGAAUUGCAGAAUUCAGUGAAUCAUCGAAUCUUUGAACGCACCUUGCGCCCCUUGGCUAUUCCGAGGGGCAUGCCUGUUUGAGUAUCAUGAACACCUCAACUCUCAUGGUUUGCCAUGAUGAGUUGGACUCUGGGGGUUUUGCUGGCCUGUGGUCGGCUCCUCUCAAAUUAAUCAGCCUCCCAGUGUUUGGUGGCAUCACGGGUGUGAUAAAUAUCUACGCUCGCUGUUGUCUGCCAGGUAACCUUUGGUCACAAAGGUUUGCUGGAGCUCACAGAUGUCUCUCCUCAGCGAGGACAGCUUUAUUAACGUUCGAUCUCAAAUCAGGUAGGACUACCCGCUGA
rnacentral:misc_RNA from 1 species